UGGGUAACCUGCCCAUCAGAGGGGGAUAACAUUCGGGAAACGGAUGCUAAAACCGCAUAGGUCUUCGAACCGCAUGGUUUGAAGAGGAAAAGAGGCGCAAGCUUCUGCUGAUGGAUGGACCCGCGGUGCAUUAGCUAGUUGGUGAGGUAACGGCUCACCGAGGCCGUGAUGCAUAGCCGACCUGAGAGGGUGAUCGGCCACAUUGGGACUGAGACACGGCCCAA
rnacentral:rRNA from 1 species